GAUGAACGCUAGCGGCAGGCUUAAUACAUGCAAGUCGAGGGGCAUCAAGGUACACGAAAGUGUAUUGUUGGCGACCGGCGGACGGGUGAGUAAUAGGUAGGUAACCUACCUCAUACUGAGGCAUAGCUGGGAGAAAUUCCAGGUAAUUCCUCAUGAGGUUAUAUGACACAUGUGAUAUAAUCAAAGGUAUCGCAAGGUACUGGUAUGAGAUGGGCUUACUGACCAUUAGCUAGUUGGUGAGAUAAGAGCUCACCAAGGCGAAGAUGGUUAGGGGUUUUGAGAGAGAGAUCCCCCACAUUGGAACUGAGAUACGGUCCAGACUCCUACGGGAGGCAGCAGUAGGGAAUAUUGGGCAAUGGGCGAAAGCCUGACCCAGCCAUGCCGCGUGAAGGAAGACGGCCUUAUGGGUUGUAAAACUUCUUUACUACGCGAAUAGAGGUUAGUACGAGAUACUAAUAGGAAGGUAGUGUAGUAAAAAGCACCGGCUAACUCCGUGCC
rnacentral:rRNA from 1 species